AGACAUUAAAAAUGCAGGGUAUUUUGAAGAAGAAAUACUGGAACACGUAAAAACACAUGGUUCAAAGUUAAUCAGUACAAUUGAAAAUUGGAUUAAAAUGUCUGAAAAAGAAUUAACUGAAGAUGAAAAACUUGUUCCUGGAUAUCCAUUAUUGCCACUUUCCAAGGGUUUUUGCCUAUCAAUCAUCAAAGCACUAAAAGAUUACAAAGAAGUAUUGAUUUCCAUGAAUAUCAUAUUCAAAUAAUCAUAAAUAACUCUUAACUGUUUUAUCCUGUUCAAAGAAAACAUAUGCAAACA